GGUGGAAGAGGGAGGAAAGGAGGAGAAUGGAGGCGGAGUUUUAUUCCGGAUAUCGGGAGUGGAGGGAGGG
rnacentral:ribozyme from 1 species